UACGGAGGGGGCAAGCGUUGUUCGGAAUUAUUGGGCGUAAAGGGCGUGUAGGCGGCCGCACAAGUCGGAUGUGAAAUCCCUCGGCUCAACCGAGGAACUGCACUCGAUACUGCGUGGCUAGAGUCCGGGAGGGGGUAGUGGAAUUCCCAGUGUAGCGGUGAAAUGCGUAGAUAUUGGGAAGAACACCAGUAGCGAAGGCGGCUACCUGGACCGGAACUGACGCUGAGGCGCGAAAGCCAGGGGAGCGAAUGGG
rnacentral:rRNA from 1 species